GAGGAAAAGAAACUAACAAGGAUUCCCCUAGUAACUGCGAGUGAAGCGGGAAGAGCUCAAAUUUGUAAUCUGCCUUUUGGCCGAGUUGUAAUCUGGAGAAGCGUUAUCAGGCGCCGACCGCAUUAAAGUCUCUUGGAACAGGGCGUCACAGAGGGUGAGAAUCCCGUGAGUAAUGCGGCUGCGGCGUUGUAGAGGCGCUCUCGAUGAGUCGAGUUGUUUGGGAAUGCAGCUCAAAUUGGGUGGUAAACUCCAUCUAAAGCUAAAUAUUGGCGAGAGACCGAUAGCGAACAAGUACCGUGAGGGAAAGAUGAAAAGGACUUUGGAAAGAGAGUUAAAGAGUACGUGAAAUUGCUGAAAGGGAAGCGCUUGAAGUGAGUCGCGCGGGCAGGAUUCAGCUUUGCGUAUUUCCUGCCUGUGGGCCAGCAUCGACGGUGGGCGGCGGACAAGGGCGGUGGGAAUGUGGCACCUUCGGGUGUGUUAUAGCCCGCCGUCGUACACGCUGCCUUACGUCGAGGACUGCUUAUAGGAUGCUGGCGUAAUGGCUUUAAGCGACCCGUCU
rnacentral:rRNA from 1 species